rnacentral:rRNA from 1 species
CAUAUCAAUAAGCGGAGGAAAAGAAACUAACAAGGAUUCCCCUAGUAACUGCGAGUGAAGCGGGAAAAGCUCAAAUUUAAAAUCUGGCGGUCUUUUUGGCCGUCCGAGUUGUAAUCUAGAGAAGUGUUAUCCGCGCUGGACCGUGUACAAGUCUCCUGGAAUGGAGCAUCAUAGAGGGUGAGAAUCCCGUCUUUGACAUGGACUGCCAGGGCUUUGUGAUGCGCUCUCAAAGAGUCGAGUUGUUUGGGAAUGCAGCUCAAAAUGGGUGGUAAAUUCCAUCUAAAGCUAAAUAUUGGCGAGAGACCGAUAGCGAACAAGUACCGUGAGGGAAAGAUGAAAAGAACUUUGGAAAGAGAGUUAAACAGUACGUGAAAUUGCUGAAAGGGAAACGCUUGAAGUCAGUCACGUCGACCAGGGAUCAACCUUGCUUUUGCUUGGUGCACUUUCUGGUUUGAUGGGUCAGCAUCAAUUUUGACUAUUGGAAAAAGGCUGAGGGAAUGUGGCAUCUUUGGAUGUGUUAUAGCCCUUGGUCACAUACAAUGGUUGGGAUUGAGGAACUCAGCAUGCCGCAAGGCCGGGUUUUAAACCACGUUCGUGCUUAGGAUGCUGGCAAUAUGGCUUUAAUCGACCCGUCUUGAAACACGGACCAAGGAGUCUAACAUGCCUGCGAGUGUUUGGGUGGAAAACCCGAGCGCGUAAUGAAAGUGAUAAGUUGAGAUCCCUGUCGUGGGGAGCAUCGACGCCCGGACCAGACCUUUUGUGACGGUUCCGCGGUAGAGCAUGUAUGUUGGGACCCGAAAGAUGGUGAACUAUGCCUGAAUAGGGUGAAUCCAGAGGAAACUCUGGUGGAGGCUCGUAGCGAUUCUGACGUGCAAAUCGAUCGUCAAAUUUGGGUAUAGGGGCGAAAGACUAAUCGAACCAUCUAGUAGCUGG